rnacentral:lncRNA from 1 species
UGCUGUUGUGGAAUCAGCAGAUCCCGGAAUCAGUAUAACGUGCAGCAAGCCAACACAUGGAGAGCCUGGUUGCAGAGCUUAAUAAGGGAUACAGUCCUUCCUGACAGAGAAAGCAUUGCAACAGAGCAUCAAUCAGGGUCAUCUACACAGCCCUAUCUAUCCUGGAAUUCACUAGGUAGACCAGACCAGGCUAACCUCAAACUCACAGAGAUCUACUUGCCUCUUUUCCUCUACCAGUUUUCUCAAUGAUGUCAGAUCUAUCCUGAUGGCAGCACAGUUCAGAUGAGAGGUGCAUGCAAUUCGUCUCUGGCAGCACUAGCUCAUGUCUCAUUUACAGCUGUCCCAGUGCAGUGAGGCUUAAGACAGAAAUGCCCCGUUCAUGCCAUCAGACAAAGCCCACCACUUUGACUUUGUUCUGCACCUACCCCUCCCUCUCCACACACAUAUUGGUAACUAUAAAUUCAUGGAAAAACCAUCACUGACAAGGGUCAAGCUUCUCUCCUACUUCUGAAGAGUAACAUGGGGCCAAAGCCAUGCCAAGAGAAUCCCAGGCCAAAUGCUGCUUCCAAAAUGUCCAAAUAUUCACAGCUCGAUUUGAAAAAUAUAAAGAAAAGAUU